CACGGGGGUUGCGAGCGUUGUCCGGAAUUACUAGGCGUAAAGGGCAGGCAGGCGGAUCCAUAAGUUUAUCGUUUAAGGCGUCGGCUUAACCGGCGUAGGGCGGUAGAUACUGUGGAUCUGGAAUGCGGUUGGGGAAGACAGAAUUCCUGGUGUAGCGGUGGAAUGCGUAGAUAUAGGAAGGAACAUCAGUGGCGAAGGCGACCACCUGGACUGAUACUGACACUGAGGUGCGAAAGCGUGGGGAGCAAACAGGAUUAGAUACCCGGGUAGUCCCUGA
rnacentral:rRNA from 1 species